UUGAUCAAGUGUGAAAGGCUUCUUCAGCCGUUGGAUGAUGACACAGAAGAAGGACUUGUUGACCAUCCCUGCUGACUAAUUGCUGCCUUCAACGCAGACUGAAGUAGUUGUUAAACUAAUUAAGUACAGCAAUUGCUAUGUCUUCAAACAUCCAGUCACAAUGCAAAAGUCAGAAGUAAGCUGACAGGAAAGGAGUGGAAAGACAUGCAGCAAAGGUCAUUUGGGCCGAGAGUCAAACCCACAAUGGCAUCGAUGACUGAAGGCUGGGUCGUGCAUUUUAACCAUGUGCCACCAUCGCAUCCUUGAUAGUUGGAUUUUUAAUGUUUUGAUUAUCCAAAAUUAUUUAGUGAGAAUGACAUUUAAAAGAAUAUAACUGAAUUAUAAAUCGAUAAUCCUAAUGUUAUUUUAACUAGCUUUUCAUGAAGUAAUGGAGCACUAAAAUGUAACUAGAGACGCCGUCUCAUCUAGGAACUUCUGGCUCAGAUUCAUUUUCUGCAGAACCUCAGAAAAAAAGGUUUAAGACAAGGUUGUCUUAAUUGCGCAUUUAGCUGUUUAGCAAGAACACUGGGUACUCAAACAGCAGAUCAUUACUCAAUGUUGUCAUUCUCGAUCGGCAGGUACUCAGACACCGCAACGUAGUCAACUCUGAAUCCAAGUUUGAAGAAUUAGUCCAGCUUUCCAGGAAGUGGGACAUUCACACGUAUUUCCCACAUCUGCGUCUCUAAAAAGCGUAGAGAUUUGAGGUGAAGCUGGUAGAACAGUUUUGUUAGCGGCUCCAUGACAUCACAAGGAUUCCAGCUGGGACUCCUCCUUCUUGGGUUUCACAAACAUUUAUUUUUCCUUCUCAUAGAAAGUACACCCUGGAUCAGUGCUUCUUUGUUCUCUUUGUGUCUUUGCUCUGUUCUCUCAAACCCCCAGUCGGUCGUGGCAGAU